GGGGCCGACUAGCUUCGACCGGACGCACCUGAUUCAUCGUUGCGAGCCGUGGAGCAUCCAGGCCACGUAAAAAGGAUGCACAACAACAACUGCCAACACGCAGUACGCUCUCGCCGCUUAAUUGCCGCGACGCGCGCGGACCCCACGCCCAGUAAGGUCCGCCCGCGAAAAACACUGGGCUGGUUCCAAAGCGAUGCCUUACCGCCGCGGGACGAGAAAACAGUCAGGCUGGUUUGAGGUUGGCGCCCGCCGUCAGCGGAUGCCUCGAACGAGAUUGAGAUGACGGAAACGCUUGUUGACGCGAUGAGUGAGACGUUUCGGCACGGGGGUGCGAAUCCCCCCGGCUCCAUUA
rnacentral:tmRNA from 1 species